GACGAACGCUGGCGGCGUGCUUAACACAUGCAAGUCGAACGAAGUGGCGAACGGGUGAGUAACGCGUCAUCAACCUGCCCUUCCGAGGGGGACAACAGUUGGAAACGACUGCUAAUACCGCAUACGGAAGGAGGGGAUUGCGUCGGAUUAGCUAGUUGGAGGGGGAACGGCCCACCAGGGCGAGGAUCAGGAGCCGGUCUGAUAGGAUGAACGGCCACAAUGGGACUGAGACACGGCCCAGUCUCCUACGGGAGGCAGCAGUGGGGAAGCUUCCGCAAGGGACGAAAGUCUGACGGAGCAACGCAGCGUGAGUGAUGACGGCCUUCGGUUUGUAAAGCUCUGUUAAUCGGGACGCGGUACCGGAAUAGAAAGCCACGGCUAACUCUGUGCCAGCAGCCGCGGUAAUUC
rnacentral:rRNA from 1 species